UAGCCCAUUGACAGCAUGCACACUAAAAUUAGGACAAUUCAGAGGAGAUUCACAUGGUCCCUGUGCAAGGAUGGCAGGAACAUCUAGGAAGCUGUCCAUAUUUUU